rnacentral:tRNA from 1 species
GGCGAUGUAGCUCAAUCGGCAGAGCAGCGGACUCAUAAGCCGCCGGUUACAGGUUCAAGUCCUGUCAUCGCCA